AACUCGAAAUCAAAAUUCAAAAUAUAAAAACAAAUUUAAAAUGUUCCAAACAUUCUGUUCUAGAGUAGGUAAUUAUCAAGAGUUAUGAUAUAUUUUUUUUUUAAUUCGACAUAAUUAUUAAAUUUGGUUUAAUCUGUUUUUUUUAUCUUAAAUGUUUUCUCGUAUUAUACCAAUAGUACCUGUAUAAAAUGAUAAAAAUAAUUAAAAUCAUACAACUCCAAUUAUAAUAAUAUACGAUUAUAUUAGAUUACCUAUACUAGACAAACAAUCUUCUAAACCAGCUACUUAAAUUAAACUAACUGUGUGACUAAUAAUAGAAUUUUUAGACAUUACUGAACUUAUUUAGUCUGAUAAUCUGUUAUGCGGGAGUAGAUGCAUUAAGUGUAAUUUUUCCUGUUACAAAGUACCAAUACUACACUGAUGACAACCCAGCAAAUAGUUAUUGUUUUCGUACACGUAUAAACUGUGAAAAG